rnacentral:rRNA from 1 species
GCGACCCCAGGGUAGGGGGGGGCUCCCCCUGUAUU